AAGCGAGGGGGAAGAGGGAGGAGGGGAGGGGAGGCAAGGGACCGCUUCAUUUGGAGGUGCUCCGUUGUAGCAUCUGUUUAGGAAGUCCACCGUUUCGCUUUAAUUAGGCUACUUGUUAACGGUUAUUAAGUUGAGUAUCCUUGUGCUACACCGCCCUUCCUGGAAGCAGCCUAAUGACUAACAGGGGCGUAACUAGAACCCCCAACUCCUUUUUGGGGGGUAUUUUGUGGGCACAUCCUGUUCUGCAAAAAGACAUUUUGACAUGUCACAGUAGGGAAAGCACAGGUGUAAAUAAUCAAAUGAAUCAUGGUUUCGGUUCAUUGACAUUAACAGUUGGUGGCACUUUUUCUCUAGUUAGAACAUUAAACCACAGAAGAAGAAGAUUAAAAGAGCUGGUUAAACCUCAAACGAACCAAAUCAAGAGAAAUAUGAUGGAAAUAUGGCAUUUAUGUUUGUUUCAUGUGUUAAUUCAAAGAAGGCUGAAGUCUCCACACAUAUCUGAUGUUUUCUCCAGCUGCCAUUUUUCGUCACUCCACUGGAAGAGCUUCAGUGGAAAUUUAAGUCACGCUCUUCAUAAAUCCCCUGGAUGGGUGAGCAAGGAUGAAAAUGAUGCCAAAAUCACCAGCUUCAUGCAGUUUACCCCUCCCUCCUCUAUCUGGAUGUGAACAGCUGCAAUGGGACAUAUUAAUUGGUUUAUUUUAUUGAACUAAUUUCAUUGGACUUUUCCACUGGCGAUACCUUUUGUACGUAUUUUAUUGAACUUCUUUCAAUAGAUUUAUUACAUUUAUAUUGGAUUUACUAUAAUUCCAUCAUGGGAUUAUAUUGUCACUGUCUUUUUCCCACUUGUGCACUAUCCACACGUGUCCUGAGGUUCCUUCCACCUUUUUGUCUUAUUAGAGAGCUUAGGUUGUGUUAAAAACUGUUGAUUUUUGUAGGCCUAAAUAUGACUUGUUAGAGGUUUUUAAGUUUUUUUGGUAGUGCUGACUAAAUAUCAGAAAGAAUAAAAUAGUAGUUUCUCAGUUUUGCUGCAGAUUA